AGGGCUUGACAUGCAGCUGCACGUCCGGUGAAAGUCGGAUUCCUUUGAGGGCGCUGCACAGGUGGUGCAUGGCUGUCGUCAGUUCGUGCCGUGAGGUGUUGGGUUAAGUCCCGCAACGAACGCAACCCCUGUGUUUAGUUGCUACCGCAGGUGAUGAGCCUGCGGGCACUCUAGACAGACUGCCCGUGCAAGCGGGAGGAAGGUGGGGAUGACGUCAAGUCAGUAUGUCCCUUACGUCCUGGGCUGCACACGUGCUACAAUGGCAGGUACAGUGAGAAGCAAAGCCGCGAGGUGGAGCAAAUCUCCAAAACCUGCCCCAGUUCGGAUUGGAGUCUGAAACUCGACUCCAUGAAGU
rnacentral:rRNA from 1 species